UACGUAGGUGGCAAGCGUUGUCCGGAUUUAUUGGGCGUAAAGCGCGCGUAGGCGGCCCGGUAAGUCCGUUGUAAAAGUCGAAGGCUCAACCUUCGAAAGCCGAUGGAUACUGCCGGGCUAGAGUACGGAAGAGGCGAGUAGAAUUCCUGGUGUAGCGGUGGAAUGCGCAGAUAUCAGGAGGAAUACCCAUAGCGAAGGCAGCUCGCUGGGACGUUACUGACGCUGAGGCGCGAAAGCGUGGGGAGCGAACAGG
rnacentral:rRNA from 1 species